CCUACGGGCGGCUGCAGUGGGGAAUAUUGGACAAUGGGCGAAAGCCUGAUCCAGCCAUGCCGCGUGUGUGAAGAAGGCCUUCGGGUUGUAAAGCACUUUCAGUGGGGAAGAAAGCCUUGGGGCUAAUACCCUCGAGGAAGGACAUCACCCACAGAAGAAGCACCGGCUAACUCCGUGCCAGCAGCCGCGGUAAUACGGAGGGUGCGAGCGUUAAUCGGAAUUACUGGGCGUAAAGCGCGCGUAGGCGGUCUGAUAAGCCGGUUGUGAAAGCCCCGGGCUCAACCUGGGAACGGCAUCCGGAACUGUCAGGCUAGAGUGCAGGAGAGGAAGGUAGAAUUCCCGGUGUAGCGGUGAAAUGCGUAGAGAUCGGGAGGAAUACCAGUGGCGAAGGCGGCCUUCUGGACGGACACUGACGCUGAGGUGCGAAAGCGUGGGUAGCAAACAGGAUUAGAUACCCGAGUAGUC
rnacentral:rRNA from 1 species